rnacentral:rRNA from 1 species
GGAAUAUUGGUCAAUGGAGGGAACUCUGAACCAGCCAUGCCGCGUGAGGGAGGAAGGCCCUAUGGGUUGUAAACCUCUUUUGCCUGGGGGCAAUAAGGGCGGUGCGCCGUCCGAUGAGAGUACCAGGCGAAUAAGCAUCGGCUAACUCCGUGCCAGCAGCCGCGGUAAUACGGAGGAUGCGAGCGUUAUCCGGAUUUAUUGGGUUUAAAGGGUGCGCAGGCGGCGCGUUAAGUCAGCGGUGAAAUGUCCCGGCUCAACCGGGGAGCUGCCGUUGAUACUGGCGUGCUAGAGUGCGAGCGGCGCCGGCGGAAUGAGUGGUGUAGCGGUGAUAUGCAUAGAUAUCACUCAGAACACCGAUCGCGAAGGCAGCUGGCGAGGACGCUACUGACGCUGAGGCACGAAAGCGUGGGGAUCAAACA